rnacentral:lncRNA from 1 species
CCCUUCAUCUAUAAAUUUCAAAUUCUCUGACGCUCUCUAGAUAAAUGAAUACUUGCUUUGCAUACCAUCUUUCGGAGACAAAUUCUAUAUGAAGUGGAUUUGUCUCUCCCACCAAACUCUAAGCAUCUCGAAAUCCACCAGUACACCCUGAGUACCACCCGAAGUCCAUCGGCACUCCAUCUUUAUAUUUGCACUCUUUCCCACCUUAUACUCAACUCCGCCUCUCAUUGAACUCAUCUUAAAAGCUUAGACCCCUUCCGUUUGCUUUCGCAGGA